UUGCACUAGGGUGCUAAAGGAAAUAAUCCUUGUACUUCCUAUUUGUCUUUAUAGUAGCUGUGAUUGAAUUGAGUACAUCAGUU
rnacentral:snoRNA from 1 species